CGAAACCAUCAUGGAAGGCAAUUGUGGAGAGGGAAAUGAAGGGUUCGAAGCUAAAAGCCCUUCUGGCGGCUCAAUUGCCCAAGGAGACCAGUCCUUUCUCGGAGUAUCUAGAGAUCCAGAUGGAAAACCAGAGCAGGAAUGCUGUGAGUGGUACAAUUUGGUCAACGGAGAAGAAUGUAAACUUGACGCGCAGUCCAGCGAAACGUGAGGUAUCCUUGUUGAAAUGAUUUUAUGUAAUUCUCUGUAUUUCUUAGAUGUGUUCUACGAACUUGUAAUGAACUGAGAGGUUUGCAGGUAGGGUCCAUGUGUUGUUUAUUCUAGAGUGUGGUGCAUGGAUUUUCUGUAUCUUGCCGUGUUAUUUUAUCUAGCUCGAACGGAAGCAAUAAUUGCCGUUUGAGCUGCCGCACUCAAGUAGGAUAUUCUGGCAUGGAUGUGAUUGAGAUUAUAGCUUUGAGAAGAACGACGAUAUCAUCUGCUCUGAAACAGGUUGCGCCUACAGAGGGGCAGCAUGAAACGGGUGAAGUACUUAGGAGUGCUCAGGUGCCUAGGAAACUAAAUGAGGUGCUUCUUGAUCUCCACGCCCCUGCUGGUGCACUUUAUUGCAACAUUGCCCCAGUUUGAAGUAUAUAAGUGAUCAAUGCAGUGCAGGGUCAGCAAUUAAGCGGUCUUCUCCAGUCCAAAGCAGAGUGCAGACAAGGAGAGACGUGCUUUUCAAGGAAGACUUUGUAUUCUUGAGUCCAGAGCAUGUCUUAGAUAAACAUGUAGUAAAUCCUGUCCAGAGCAUGUCUUAGAUAAAUUCCUUCUCUUUUUCCACUAUCCAUAUUGACUGAUUUUUUCUGUAUAGUAGGGGGAC
rnacentral:lncRNA from 1 species